rnacentral:rRNA from 1 species
CCUACGGGGGGCAGCAGUGGGGAAUAUUGGACAAUGGGGGCAACCCUGAUCCAGCCAUGCCGCGUGUGUGAAGAAGGCCCUCGGGUUGUAAAGCACUUUCAGUGAGGAAGAACGCCUGGUGGUUAAUACCCAUCAGGAAAGACAUCACUCACAGAAGAAGCACCGGCUAACUCCGUGCCAGCAGCCGCGGUAAUACGGAGGGUGCGAGCGUUAAUCGGAAUUACUGGGCGUAAAGCGCGCGUAGGUGGCUUGAUAAGCCGGUUGUGAAAGCCCCGGGCUCAACCUGGGAACGGCAUCCGGAACUGUCAAGCUAGAGUGCAGGAGAGGAAGGUAGAAUUCCCGGUGUAGCGGUGAAAUGCGUAGAGAUCGGGAGGAAUACCAGUGGCGAAGGCGGCCUUCUGGACUGACACUGACACUGAGGUGCGAAAGCGUGGGUAGCAAACAGGACUAGAUACCCUAGUAGUC